CCUACGGGUGGCAGCAGUGAGGAAUAUUGGUCAAUGGCCGUAAGGCUGAACCAGCCAAGUCGCGUGAAGGAAGAAGGAUCUAUGGUUUGUAAACUUCUUUUAUAGGGGAAUAAGGUAUCCACGUGUGGAUAUUUGCAUGUACCCUAUGAAUAAGCAUCGGCUAACUCCGUGCCAGCAGCCGCGGUAAUACGGAGGAUCCGAGCGUUAUCCGGAUUUAUUGGGUUUAAAGGGAGCGUAGAUGGGUUGUUAAGUCAGUUGUGAAAGUUUGCGGCUCAACCGUAAAAUUGCAAUUGAUACUGGCAGUCUUGAGUACAGUUGAGGUAGGCGGAAUUCGUGGUGUAGCGGUGAAAUGCUUAGAUAUCACGAAGAACUCCGAUUGCGAAGGCAGCUUACUAAACUGCCACUGACAUUGAUGCUCGAAAGUGUGGGUAUCAAACAGGAUUAGAUACCCUUGUAGUC
rnacentral:rRNA from 1 species